CGGCGGACGGGUUAGUAACACGUGGAUAACCUACCUAUAAGACUGGGAUAACUUCGGGAAACCGGAGCUAAUACCGGAUAAUAUAUUGAACCGCAUGGUUCAAUAGUGAAAGACGGUUUUGCUGUCACUUAUAGAUGGAUCCGCGCCGCAUUAGCUAGUUGGUAAGGUAACGGCUUACCAAGGCAACGAUGCGUAGCCGACCUGAGAGGGUGAUCGGCCACACUGGAACUGAGACACGGUCCAG
rnacentral:rRNA from 1 species